AGCGACCUGUCACACUGAGGGCGCUCUGUCUAUGGGCGUACGGCCUCGUGGUCAACCAUGUUGUUGGAGUCGCAGAGCGAGGGCACUGGCGGUGUGAUGUUCUGUGUUUCGCGUAUAUGUGUGCCGUCGCCUCGUGCGCCGGAUGCUCUCUACAAGGGCACAUGAUGCUCCGCCGCCACGUUAUCCCACUAUGCAUAUCCUUAGUGCGCCCUAGCUCCCUUUGGCGCUCUGAUGGGUCAGUACAAAACCAUGCAUCAUACAUUCAG
rnacentral:snoRNA from 1 species